rnacentral:lncRNA from 1 species
CACUCUCCAUGUUGUGCCUUCUGUCGGUUUUGACAAAUGUAUAGCGACAUGUGUCCAUCCUCAUGUGUCAUGACAUGUCUCAGACAGAGCUGUUUCACAGCCCUAAAACCCUCUGUGCUCCGCCCACUCGUCCCUCCUUCGCCCUCCCCUGGCAACCACUGAUCUUUCUCCUGUCUCCAUCGUUGUGCCCUUGCCAGGAUGUCAUGGAGUUGGAACCACACAUCCUUGCAUUUUUUAUUUCUGUGGAGUGGGUGAGGGUGGACAUAGAAGUUUUAGUUUUGAUUUUCAAUCCCUGUUUGCCCAUCUUUAUCUGCUGCGGGUGCUGAAAAGGUAAAAACUUCCCUCACAGAGGCUUCACCGCCGAGAGCAGCCACGGGGCCAAGUCUCCAAAGGGGACGCGACCUCCGCCGAUGCUACCUUCUCCCGCCUGGGACGCGGCUGGUGCUGAUCUGCAGAGAUGAGAGAGAGAGUGAGCCCGGUUCUACAACUGGGCCAUCACUUCAGCAAGCGGUUAUCGAGCGCCGACUACGUUCCGGCAGGAGGCUUGCAGGAUACAGACAUAAAACAAAGGGAUGCGGUCCCUGGCUUCCUGAGGCGUGCCGGUGCUCCCGGGUCACAGCCCCAGGCGCUGUGAGGCCAUCAUGCGCAAAGAACCAGUGUGGUCUGGGGAGGUGGUGUCACGAAGACCUAAGGGGCUCCGAGUUGACCUGGACCAGGAGGAGAAGGAGCCUCUGGAUGGACGGCGAGGUCCCUGCAGCGGGCAGAGGCCUGGCCUGCUUGUUGGAACAGAGGAAAGGCCAGCACGGCUGACGGCCAGCACUGGAGUCACAGGAGGGGCCAGGCCGGAUGUGGCCUGUCGAGGAUUUUGAACUUGGCUGUGGGUGAGGACAAGUAAUGUUUGCCGGUUCCCUUGGACUGCAUUGAAAGAGCGUAUCCCAGGCCGUCACAGACGGAUCCCAGGUAUUAACCCACAGAAGGUGCCGAUGACUCACCGAUCUCUAGCUCAGCGAGCAAAUGCGUAAAUGGGAACCAGACCACUGGACAAUGAGUGCUUGCCUGAAGGGUGAUGGUAGAUAAAAGUCAAGAACAAAGACAGAUCCAGCGGUUUCCCAAGUUACAACAACAGUUGAAUUUAAGGGCCCGUCCGUGGCAGUUCAGCUUGAGACGGGAAGCGGGCGCUGACCAUGGAGCAGGGUCCACGGGAGGAAGGAGCUCAGGGCCCUGCAGAGGCAUCCAUCAGCCCUCCUGGGGAAGCUCCGUAGGUUCCUCGCUGCGGGACUCGCCCUGCAUGAGGCCACAUCUAAAAUUACACUCGGAGCCGGGGCGUUUCAGAGCAAAUCACAGAGGAGGAAGCUUUCUGCGGUAGUUUCGACACAUGUCCUCAGAUUCCGUGUGGCCUUUCCUUGAGCCUGGGCGGGCCUCGGUGAUGUUGUGCGACUUCUGAGGCCCAGACAAGAGGCCACACAGCUGGGCCUGUUUCUCCUGGGACACUUGCUCUUAGAACCUCCAGCUGUCCUUGUUUUUUAAAAUUUUUCCCAGCUUUAUUGAGACAGAAGUGACACAGAACGUUGUGUAAGUUUAAGGUGUACAAAGUGUUGAGUUGAUAUGCAUAUGUGUCGUGAAACGAUGACCACAGCAGGGCUCGUUGACACAUCGGUCACCUCACAGAGUUACCAUUUCUUGAAGGGUGUGGUGAGGGCGCACAAGAGCUGCCUUCUCAGCAACUCCACGGUCCUGUAAGGAGUCUGGCCGCCCUGGGGCCACCGUGUGGAGAGGCCACACAGAGAAAUGCAUAAGCUGUCACCGCCCCAGCCCAGGAGCCAGGCUCGCGAGCGCAGACGCCUUCGGGGGCCCCACCAUGGCCACCACCUGACUGGCUUACAUGAGAGACCCUGGGGAGAGCUGUCCAGCUGAACUUGGUCGACCCAGAACCACGACGGGUAACAAUACGUGUGAUUGUGUUGUUUUAGGCCACUGUCUGGGCACGGUUUGUUUUGCAGCAAUAAAAACCUGGAACACUCCUCCAUCAAA